AUGACUGAGACACCAUCUUGAUUGAGGCUCAGCAGGGUUGCACAACAUGCUUUUGUACGAAGAGAAAGGAGUCCGACAACCUAGCCUCCUUUUGCCUCUGGAUAGGCCAUACCGAAUGCACCUCCUACAGCUUCAGCCUCUAUUGUUUCUACUUCUACUCCUAUUACGUCGUUCUCCCGCAGCAGGCGGGAUUAUCCUGUUCAUCUAUCUCCGCCCCCGUCCCCCCGCAAACGCACUUCUCCACUGAGUGCAUUUGAGGCGGGAGAGUCGUACGGUUCUCAUGAGACACCAUAGACCAAGCCACAGCCUUCAUCACAAUCUCGGUCCCAGAUGACACCUGAGGCGUCUCCUCAGUCAUCCCAAGCACCUGAGCUGGCUCAUGAGGCGGCACUUAAGCCUGAGCCUGCACCUACACAAGUUGCACCUGCGGCGCCUUAGAAUUUUGAAGGAGGAUCAUCUGAUUUAUCCUUUCUUCCUCUUUAUCCUGACCAUGUUGCUAGAUAUAUAUGGGAUGGAUCGAGAUGGAUGCUACAACACUUCCCCUUCAUUUCAGGUUGGUCACUUGCUACAGGUUAUACUGAAGAUAAGUCGCGUGCCUACGCAUACGACCCGCACCGAGGGACUCAAGAUAUAAAGCCAUUCCGGGUGUACAUUGACCGGAUGGUGCAUGAGGACAUACACUUUUGUUCAUACAUCGACCACCGUGUGACGAUACCAUUUGACGACUUUGUACUUUUUACGGGAUGGAUGGCCUGCGGAUUCUCAAGAAGAUUUCUUAUAUGCCUGAGUGGGUGAUGCGUCAGUUCGGUUUCACCCAGACCAUUACUCGAGAUCCUACUAUAUCUGCUCCUCCGAUGGUAAAACGGAGGGAUUUGGAUGCUUUGUUUGAUGAUUUUGAAAAUCAUCUUGUUCCUGAUGAGGCCAGGAGUAUCGUAGCACUAGGAAACUAGAGCUACGUGUACAGUUACAUGAUAUGGUUCUUCUAGGUGUCUCAUUCAUACGUGGUACAUGAUGCUCCAGGGAACCCACCGAGGUCAGUUCAUCAAGAGAUCCUAGAGGAGGAGGAGGCUAGGGUCGAUCAUGCCACUGACGUGUUUCCUAGGUGUCUUCGUAUCAUGGAGAUUGCGCGGGAUGGAGGCAACGGCGGGACGCUUCGAGAGUGACAGGCCGACUCAUCAUCUGUCGUACCCAGUAGUAUUUGAUGAAGUAUUUGUAUUUUGGUUCUAGUUUUUUGUUAGCGUAUUUGGAUGACAUUUUUGGGUUAUCCCUUUAUCGACCACGGACACUUUUUGUGAUGUGUACUACUAUAUCACUAUAUAUAUAUA